rnacentral:rRNA from 1 species
UACGUAGGGUGCAAGCGUUGUCCGGAAUUAUUGGGCGUAAAGAGCUCGCAGGCGGUUUGUCGCGUCGGCUGUGAAAACUCAGGGCUCAACCCUGAGCCUGCAGUCGAUACGGGCAGACUAGAGUAUGGCAGGGGAGACUGGAAUUCCUGGUGUAGCGGUGAAAUGCGCAGAUAUCAGGAGGAACACCGGUGGCGAAGGCGGGUCUCUGGGCCAUAACUGACGCUGAGGAGCGAAAGCGUGGGGAGCGAACAGG